UCCCGUAUUUGGCCAUGGGUCGGUGUCCUACGCGCUCCGGAGAGUCGGGUUGCUCGGGAUUGCAGCCUGAACGGGAGGUAAAUUUCUCCCAAAGCUAAAUACUGGCGAGAGACCGAUAGCGAACAAGUACCGUGAGGGAAAGAUGCAAAGAACUUUGAAAAGAGAGUUAAAAAGUACCUGAACUUGUUGGGGGGAAAGCGGUUGCUUCCAGUGUGCGCGCGUCGAUUCAGCCCGCGAGGGUGUACUUUGGCGCGCGCGGUCAGGGUGGGUUUGGCGCGGCGUUGACGUCGCUCGCGAGGCCUUCGGGCAACCGUGCGUUCGUGCGUCGCUCCUGACCGAGGCUCGCUCUGCUGCGGGGUCGGCGUAUCGUCUAGGCGUCUCACAAGCAACUUGUGCUCGCCGGGCGUGAUUCCCUACCCGCUCGUGUAGCGUGACCCUGACGAAAUGGGCGCCACCGACCCGUCUAGAAACACGGACCAAGGAGUCUGACGACUGCGCGAGUCUUCGGGUUGCAAGCCCGUGGGCGUAAUGAAAGUGAGUGAUGCUCAGCAUCGACCGACCGUGAUCUCCUGUGAUUGGUUUGAGUAUGAGCGUGGUCGCCGGGACCCGAAAGAUGGUGAACUAUGCCUGAGUAGGGUGAAGCCUGAAGAAAUUCAGGUGGAGGCUCGUAGCGAUACUGACGUGCAAAUCGUUCGUCGAACUUGGGUAUAGGGGCGAAAGACUAAUCGAACCAUCUAGUAGCUGGUUCCCUCCGAAGUUUCCCUCAGGAUAGCUGGAGCUCUUUGUUCAGUUUUGU
rnacentral:rRNA from 2 species